rnacentral:misc_RNA from 1 species
AAAUGCGAUAAGUAAUGUGAAUUGCAGAAUUCAGUGAAUCAUCGAAUCUUUGAACGCACAUUGCGCCCGCCAGCACUCUGGCGGGCAUGCCUGUUCGAGCGUCAUUUCAACCCUCAGAACCCCUUGCGGGAUCUGGCGUUGGGGAUUGGCAUCCAGUCAGCCCCGAAAUCUAGUGGCGGUCCCUCCGCGACCUCCCCUGUGCAGUAGCGAUACCUCGCAGCGGGACAGCGGUCUGACCACGCCGUAAAACCCCCAACUUCUCAAGGUUGACCUCGAAUCAGGUAGGAAUACCCGCUGAACUUAAGC